rnacentral:rRNA from 1 species
AGCAGUGGGGAAUAUUGGACAAUGGGGGCAACCCUGAUCCAGCCAUGCCGCGUGUGUGAAGAAGGCCUUAGGGUUGUAAAGCACUUUCAGUGGUGAGGAAGGUUGCGAGGUUAAUACCCUUGUAAUUUGACGUUAGCCACAGAAGAAGCACCGGCUAACUCUGUGCCAGCAGCCGCGGUAAUACAGAGGGUGCAAGCGUUAAUCGGAAUUACUGGGCGUAAAGCGCGCGUAGGUGGUUUGUUAAGUCGGAUGUGAAAUCCCCGGGCUCAACCUGGGAACUGCACCCGAUACUGGCAGGUUAGAGUACAAUAGAGGGGUGUGGAAUUUCCUGUGUAGCGGUGAAAUGCGUAGAUAUAGGAAGGAACACCAGUGGCGAAAGCGGC